rnacentral:tRNA from 1 species
CUGACUGUAGGUCAAUUUGGUAGAGCGCUGGCUUUGGGAGCCAGGGGUUCGGGGUUCAAAUCCCUGUAGUCAGACCA